GGCAGCUUCAGGCCAGGAGCUGCAUAUCCAAGUUGCUUCCCUGUGCCAGGUUGGCACCCACCUCCUCCACCCCACCACCCCACCCCAACCCCAGCUGCUGUGAGUGUGAGCUGUUCUCAACUGACUCCUGAGAAUUGCCCCAGCCUACUGGAGCUGUCUGGCCAGAAAUGCUGAUUGUUUCCAGACAGGAGCAAUGAUCGGAUGAUACCGGAAUACAUCAGGCCAGUCUCUGUGCUUCAGGAAGGGACAAACUCCUGGUGCCAUUCAUACUCCCGAGCUCCUCGUGGGACCAGCUGAUGCGAGACCUCUGCCGAGCCCACCUGUUUGCCAAGCAUUCUCCCUAGCCCCUUACUUCCCUUCCCUGCUUACAUUUUCGCCUGACCGCCUCAGGCUCUGCUUCUAGGCAACCUGCCCUAAAAGAAUGGGGGAGCAAGGCUGCCUGUAACAGCGAGGGGAACAGACCAGAAGGCUCUACUGCCUUCCUGAGCCAGCAAACCACCCAGCCGUCCCCCUCAUUCAGCCCUCCCUGGCAUUCACUGGUUGCAAGGUGGCUGCUGCAUCUCCAGACAUCAAUCCACACUCCAGGCAGGAAGAAAGAAACAGAAAGCAAUGAGAAAACAAAGCUUUCCCAGAAGCAUCCAGCAGACUUCUCCUUUCGUCACAUCGGCUGAAAUUGUGUUGCAUGGACUACACCAGCUGCAAAGAACUAUAGGAUAUGUCUUAUUUGUUGAAAUCUGGACUCAUGACAGUGCUGUUGGUACAGGAAAAAACAAGAAUGACCAUACGGUAGGCAACUAGAAGUUGCUUCAAAGGCUUUCUCUGGACAAAAUUCUUCUAUCGAGAAGCAACAUUGGAAUAAGGUCGAUGCCUUAACUUGAGGGGGUGGGGGUCAGAUAGACCCCCCAACUCCAAGUCUUGCCUGACCCCUUCCUUUCCCAAAUGACUCUAGAAGAUACUCUUAAGCAAUCUGAGCUCCUGUUUGCUUGUUUCUUAAAGAGGAUAAAUGUGGUUUUCUCAAGGGUUUAUGGAGUGAUUAGAGCAUCUCCAUGCGAAGUAUCUUAAUACUGAGACACUCAAUUCUUCUCCUACUUCCUGUCAUUGCUCAUCAUGUGACAUGUUUCUAGUCCUUUCCUCCUGAACAUGCUCCCAGGAUCUGCUUUAAUGUCUUUUCCGAAGUGUAACCCCAGUGUGGAACGUAAAACUCUACUACGCCUCCAUGUGGAGCACAGUGGGGAUGCUUACCCUCCUUGCUUUGGGCAUCGUACUUCUUACUCAUGCUCCCUCAUGUCUCUGGUGGUCUUGUGAGCACAUGGUAACAGCAGAUCGGGGGAUCUUUGCAUUCACGUUUCCCACCUUGGGCUCUUGGCCCAUCAGCAGUAGACCAGAAGGAGCUAAUCAGGGACCUGCAUUCAGAGUCAGCUGUAUUAAAGCAGAGCCGGAUGCAGAAUUAGCAGGACCUCCAACUCCCUUCCUCAACCCUGCAGAACCCUGAUGAACCUCCAGUCACAGGCAGAAAAUCUGGAACCCAGGGAUCGAGGGCCUGGCUGGACCCAGCCAUGGAAGAGGACCUGCUUAAGCAGACUUAACCCAGAAAGCCCAAAGCUGGAGCUGCUCCCCCACCGCAGCUGACCAUUGCCCAUCCCAGGAGCGUCAUGCCAUCCCCAGACUAACCAAUCACUUUGGAGGAAAGCAAGAAGUGUGGUGAAGGAGGCUGCGGGAAG